AUUGCUGUCUGUUCCAGGAAGAAAUUAAAUUAUGAUACUUGCAUGAAGUCUUUUGUGUGUGUGUGUUGUGCAUAGUCUACAAAGUAGCUGGGUAAAAGAUUUCAGCAGACACUCCUGUUCGAAACACAGGCAGGAAAUCAAGAAUAUUUGGAGGCAUCUUCUCAAAAUAGAAUUGUCCUGAAUUGACAUCUUCGGGUCAACAAGAAGUUGAUUUCUGCAUUUCAGGCAUAGGUGUUUCCAUAUAUACUUACCUGCCAAUCCUUCUAAUUAGCAGAUUACUUGGCAAAACCAGUAGGACUCAGCAAAAUUAUCUUUUUAAUCUACACUUGCCAAAAGAGUUCUGGUUUCCAGAUAUCCUGAAUAGGAUAGUCCUUAAGGACUUCUCUGCAUUCGGAGCCACAGAACAAAGGAACAGUUUGAUAUCUGGACUUAAAGUUGUUUCCUCUCCUAUCCUGAAUGCUGGAUGGCUGUUAAGUAUAGGAACUCCUGCUUUUCACUUGGUCUUGAUCAGUGGUAAGAAGGCCUAUGAGGCAAAUUUAAUUGGUGAAGGAAAUGAGAUUUUCCUCCUAGAGCUAUGAAAUAUCUCAAAUACAUUUAAGGAAUCGUUGCGUGACAUUUUAAACUAUCUUCUGGCUUUAGAGCAGUAGCCAAUCCUGAAAGGUUGAAAAGAGUUCAGAAGUCUGUACUCAGUGGCUUCUCCCACCUCACUGAUUCUUGAAGGAUCCAAGCAAGGUAAAUAUGACAGUUCUCCUAUCUCAGACUUAAACCUGUGCCUGGACCCAUCAGCCCCCUCCUUGGCAACAGCUUUAUGCUCUCAAUGACUUCUGUCAGCUAAAAUGACCUCCUGGAGGCUGUCACCAGUGAGAGGAGCAAAGGAGGAGCUGAUCCUUCUCUUCUAAGUGGCUACAGAGCACGUAAUGACAUCCUCUGAUUUCUGCCAACAGUGGUUACAGGGCUCCAUCUGUACUAGAAAAUCCAUCUUUCCGUAUUCUUCCCUCAGACCACACAUUCCAGGUGGCAGUGUCAUCUCUCCACGCUUGGGGUGUAACCACUGCCCUGUUAACUACGAAACGUGAAAGUAUUUUAAGACAUUCAUUUGACAUUUCCUACCUAGUUGUAUUCCCCACUGCAGGUCUGUUUUAAGAUUGUUAUGGCAGGUCACAGUCCAGGUAAAGCAUCGGAUCUUGAUCUGUCAGCAGCAUCUGCGUUGGGAAUUUCACCAAGGAAAUUAUUUAUCUUAGGCAUCUACAGAGCAUAUACAUGAAACUCUGUCUUCCCAAUUUGAUGGAUGUCACGUAGAGUGUAUAACUACUUUUGGUGGGAAGAAACGUAAGUGAUGUCCCAACCACAACCACAAGACUCUGCCAUGGAAGAAACUGAUGAUUGCUGUGGAGUACACUGUGAUGGAAAUACGGCGAUGUAUUGCAUGCAGGUAGCUGCCAGGAGGAGGAUCUUAGAGCACGUUACCUAUCAGUAAUUGAUUAGUGCUGGAUAUGUGCAUAUCCCAGCCAGCCUCCCAUUCUCUUUUUGUUACAGUCCUGCACACCUAGAAAUUCUCAUACACAUAGGGUGCACUGCGUGUGCUAUUGCCCAAAUUAAAAUCUUAAGGAGCCUGAAGGCUUAUAUGUGCUAUACCACAUAAAUAAAUGUUCAGCUCUGGCAGAUAUGCAUUUACACCUCUCCUAGAACUCUCGUUGCUAUAUCAUAAGUAAAUUUUCAUUCAUUCUGAGGCAUAAAAAGCUUUUCUACAGGUUUCUCGUGCAAUUAUAACAAUAUCUGAUAGCGUAAGGAUGUUCAAUCAUACAAAUAAAUAGCUUGUUUUAAAGCUAUGCCUGCACAGCAAGUGCAGAUAUUUAAGAACCCAAGUAAAAUUUUCAAUGCGUUGCCAGGCAAACAGUUUUAAGAUGGAGGUAAACCCUCAUCCCUAAAAGCAAAAAUAUGGACCAAUCUACACAGAAAUAAAAAUUGGCAAGAAAAGAUCACAUUUGCUCUCGAAGAAUUCCGUACAUUUCCAGAUUACAGCCAAGCAAAACCCAGGUACACAUCUGUCUCCAAUCUGCAUACUUGCAGGAUGUAUCUUCUGCCAAUUCAUCCCUUAAAUAAUUUCUGGGUAAUCAUAUUGUUGUCAUAUACAGUUGCUCGAACUUAUUCAGUGUCUCAUAAAUAAUAACAGUAAACAAAGCCGGGGAGUAGAUAUCGCACAGGGUGAUGGGAAAAUAAGGACUAAGGAGGCUAAAAAAAAAGUAAGAAAGACUGGGAAAAUAGAGAAGAGCAGAAGGAGAGCAAAAGAAUAAGCUCUGAGGAAAGUCAGUGCCAAUAAAUGUAAUACCCUACUCUCAAGAAAAAGAGAAUAAAGCACAGAUGGAAAUGGGAGGAUAUGUUCAUCCAAAUCCAUUAUAGGAAAGCAAGCUGAUUGUUUCUGUUAUGUUCUUUACGAUGUUUUAACACUACUUCUGUAUAAAAUCAUGCACUGUCAUUGGUGAGGGAAAGGUAUACCUGGAAUUCAGAUGGUCCCUUAAAAGGAAGCAUGUGCUGUACAAAUAGUGAAGCACAGAGACAGGAAAUAAACGAUGGUGGCCAUUCCUAGAGAACUCACAGGCCUUCUGAAAGCUAGGGAUCGAAUUCAGACUUCAUUCUCCAGUUUAGUUAAAUAAGCUACAACUGUUAGCAGCAGGUUUGUUUUCUUGUAAGUCAAACUCCAGUCUUACCUCUGCCCUUUUCUUUCAGUGAAGGACCAGCACGUACAUAUGAACAUAGAAUUAUUUUAUUUUCUGUAAUGAUCAAACCCAAAUGUUACUUUACCUUUGCCAGCUUUGUGUAGGGUGAUGUGCCAUCUUGCACAUUUAUUUUCCUGGAGUGAUUCCCAGAAGUAUGCUAUGCUUUUUCUUGCUCAUGUCUCACUAGCUUUAUUUAUGAGUUGUGUACAUCAGGUUUUCAGUCCCUGGGGACAGGCCUACACAGGAAACCUGUAGACCAUAUUUAAUACAUGCAAGUAUGAGAGUAGUAAAAAGCAUGAUGAUACUCCAAAUGAUCUAAUUCAAAAUUUCAGCUAGAUCAUGGCUAGGUUGGUGUCCGUGUUUUUAAACCACAAGCACCUCUAUCUGCUUUGUCACAUAGGAGGAAAAGAUGUGGUAAAGAUCAGUAAGUCUAAAAGAAAUUUUACUUAGCGCUCACUGAAGCUCUUCAGCUGCUAAAUAUUUAGAAAUUAAGGUCUCACAAUACACCUUUGUAAUAGUUAUGUAGUGCUAGAGGACUGAAAAAUGAAAUACCAUAGCCUGAUUCUCUAUUUGGAAUACCUAGCCUCAGUAAGCCUCAUGUUUUCAAAAGCCUCUAUUAAUUCUUGUGGAUUUGAUGAAUUCGUUUUUCUAAAACUGGACACAUGGAGCUCAGGGGAAACAAAUUUAACAUAAAAAAAAACAUCCUGGCUUUUUUCAUUUCUAGCUGCUUAGUAGAAUUAAGAGUAAAUGAUUCUUACCUGAAUUAAGUUUUAAGUGAAGUGGGGGAAAAAAAUCUUUCGUGUUCAACAUCCGUAUAUAAUGUGAAAUAUCAAACUUACAAGCAGAAUUGAAGAGAAUGCUUUGAGGAGGUAUGUUCAGUUCCAAAUAUCAAAACGUGAUUAAGGACAAUGAGCCAACAUUUCUAGGAGACUUCCCUGUCAAGUGGAAACAAAGAGCAAAUUUUCACUUGAUUUACAGAAUUACAAUUAAGUCAUCUCCGAUGACUGAACCUAAUAGCAGUAUCAUAAUUUUGAAGUUAUUGAUUCUUACUGAUUGCAUAGAAAAUAUAUUUUUAAAGAUAACUUUUUUCUCACUUAAUAGGUGCAUGAAUUGGCUGGAAAAUAAAUCAAGAUAAGGCCCUCUUUCUGCCAUGCCAUCACAGCUGGAGACAAGCAUUUUGCUGAUGAAAGCUGAUUGGUAUCAUAUUAUCCCCUUGAUUACACCUGUGCAAUCCCAUUAAUUGAGAAAUAGCGUGACCUGGGGAAACGUAAUGGCUGGUAACGUUGUAUAGGAAAGCUGAUCUACAAAGCUUGAUGUACAUGUUAAACUGCAGGUGUAUUUAUAGGCUGGCUGCCUGGAAAAAAAACACAACACACAUCCCCCAGAAUGUGUGUGAGGUGCCAUAACCACCGGACCGUUCCUCAGAACAGAACUGAUGGAUAAAGCCCUCCUUCACUGGAAAGGCUGUUAGGCAUUGGGAUGGGCUGCCCAGAGAAGUGGUUGAGUCACCAUCCCUGAAGGUCUUUAAGAGACGUUUAGAUGUAGAGCUCAGUGAUAUGGUUUAGUGGAGGACUUGUUAGUGUUAGGUCAGAGGUUGGACUGGGUGAUCUUGGAGGUCUCUUCCAACCUAGAUGAUUCUGCGAUUCUGUGAUUCACUCCGCAGUGUGACUGCAGAGCAGGAGGGAGAGGCAAGGGCUGUAGUGUGGUAAUGGAGGUAGCGCUGCCCGCUUGGUUCCACCACGUGUCAAGGUAGAUGUCACAUCUGCUGGUGAUGCUCAGAACGGAUGGGCGCUGAGGUGGCACGCUGCUUACCACCCUUCACCCUCUUGUUUCUCAUCCCACCUGACCUCCCGAAGCAAUUCCCUGUAAGAUGGUUCUCCCCGUGACCCUAAGGAACAGAUUGCUCAGGGGAUUACAUGCAGCGAGGUAGCCUGAGGACAGCGCUACUGAGGCUGGCUUUGCAGCUGCUGUCAAGUCAGCUACCGCUUGGUGAGGUCUGGGGCAAAGCCGGAGCAAGGAGCUAAAAGGAAAGGUAUUAUCCAUGUCCCCAGCACUCCUUUUCUGAUUUCAGGGUCCCAAGUAAAACCAGUUACCUCACUUAAAGCCCACCAUUCACGUAUCUCUCCCCGUGCUCGUUCAGUACCGUAUGCAGCUGAAAUGGUCGCCCCCUCCGUCCUGACACCUGAACAUAGUAAUGUUGCCCAUGGUAAUGGGAGCACGCGGGUAUUGCUGGUCAGGGAGCAGAGGCUGCUGGGGUCUUCCCAUCACCUCGGUCCCAGGACCUGAAGAAGACUUUCUCAAAGGCACCCCGUCCAUCGUACACUUGCUGCAGCCACCAGCUGAGCCUGGGAUAUAGCACUGGCCUUGGAGAAGCAGCGCCACAAUUUCUGCCAGCUGAUGGGGCUGGAAAAAGCACAUCCAUCCCAUGGAACAACAAACUGGGGAGAGUUCAGAGCUGUCAGAUGCUGUUGUCCUACCGUGGUCAUCGGUCCUGGAGGGGUUGGCCAAAUCUGCAAGAGAUGCUUCUGAGCGGGGCUUGCUCUUUGACCUCUGCCACUGUUGCCAGUGAAAUGAGGUUUACCCUGCGGCAAUUCAAGCUGACUUAGAUUUUUAGUUUUAAAAAUAAAUCAAACUCAUGAGUUUAUGGUCAGUUCUUGUUUGUUUGGUUGGUUUUGUUGUUUUUUUUUUUUUGGGGGGGGGUAUUUGGUUUUCUUUAAUAAGAAAAAAAUCACUCAGAGGCAUGACAAGGCGUGCUUUGCGAAUGGUUACGCUUAGCUGUAAUCUGCCUGGUGGAGUGCUCAGCGAAUUGCAGGAAGAAAAAUGCACUAGUUUGAACUGGAUUUGGGAGCGAGGAUAUUUCGAUUUGGGGCAGCCGAAGGAAAAUUGUAUAACACUGUUGUGCUGUCCUGAGCAGGAGAAGAAGCCAAAGAAUUGCAUGCUUUUUCCAUCUUUGUAAUCAGUUUGUUAUGCACAGAGCAAUGCCGUGGGAUUAAGCAUUUUGUCUGCUGGGUUUCCCCUGGCAGCAUGUGAAGAAGUUCAUUAUAAGUGCUUAUCACAUGAUCCACUUAAUCAAACCACUGGAACUUGGAGAAUAAGUCAUUCUAACAAGACCCGUCAGAGCUGCCUUAUAAACCACUUACUGAUAUACUCUUCCUGGGUUAGUGUACAAUGAGUUUCCUUGUACCUCAGGGUACGACGCAGGAAGUUCAUUAUCCCCAGUCCGAAUUCAGACGUGAAGAAAGGAAGCAGGGCUUACAAAGAGGCGACAGAUAAUUUGCGCAGGAUUCUGGUUAGCCUCUCAAAUCCCUUGCGUAGCGGGACUGCGAGCUCUUCGUCAGAACAGCCUUCUGGUUUUCCGUGCUACGCACGGGGCAGCUAUCUCCAUGGCUGCCUUUAGUGUUGUGAAAUACAGAUGACACAGGAGAAAAUACUUUCCGUCAUUUGAUUAGAUGCUUAAAUGGAAGCACGUGGGGAAAAAAAAAAAAAGAAAGAAAGAAAUCAGAAGCGAAACCAUGCUUUUAGCAGGGCAAUAGUACAUAUUCUGCGUAACAGUAGCAGAGCCGACAUCCGGCUGAUGCAAAACGCCUUGAGAGCCUGCUAAAUCCCAGCGUGUGCUAGGGUUUGGAGUACUUAGACGUGUGGCAAGCUAGGAGCACACACACAUGCUGUCUGCAGCUCGUGUUUGUGUGCUCCGCGCCUGCUGAGGUAAGAUGCCUUUCCCGGUGAUGUACCUAGGGACUGUUCUGGAUGCAGGGAACCGGCAGGUGGAGGCUCCUCGAAGGCACUCGUUUUGCUGAGCCCUGCCACAAGCGGUGUGACACUAGACUUUCUGGCACUCCCUGGGUUUUGUCACCGAUGUUAUUUCACGGCCAGUAUCUCACGAGGGCAUGCAGAAGCUUGCCUUUCGGCUGCCUGCUGAAGGACAGUCUGGGUGCCACCACGUACGUUGGCUUGGACCAGCCUUAGUGUAGAAAUGCCCAGAUCAUUUUCCCAAGCAGCACCCUGUCUACGGGCAGUAGUGCUCCUCAGCUGCACCUCUUCUUUCACCUCCCAAGCUCACUUGAAAGCAGCAUAGUGUCACACCAGAUUGAAGGUUGCUUUGCGUGGGGACGCACAGGCUGAGCCUGACGUGGGUCUCCAGAUGAAUUUUUUGUGCUGGAAAUUGCCAUUGGAACGAGAAGCAUCAAGUAGGUUGAUGCAACAUGCUCUGUAAGGCAUGAAAAACAGGGAGGUGUGCAGGGCUGAGUAGCACGGGCAACAGAAACAAAAAAGCAAGCUGUUUUGAUGGGGAUUAUGCUUUGGAUGGGGAUUAUGCUUUAUUUCCUAGGUUAGUUCCAGUGGAGAGGUCACAAAGUUCAUGCCAUUGUCCAGGUACCACUUUGAGAAAACAGUGAACCCUGUCUCUCCCGUGUCAGUGCUAUGUGAAGUCCAGCCAGCCCAGAGCCUUAAAAUUCAGCCUGCUGAUUACUGCUGGGCCCAGCCCAGAGUGAGCACGGGGCCUGGACUGUGUCCGCCAACAGACAUGAGGUUUGGGAUGCACGGAUUUCAUUCCUACUGGCAGAGUUAGGCGGUGAUGCUGUGUCGCUGCUCUCCUUGUACUUUAACCCUGGCUGUCUUGCCUCGGUAAAACCACAGGUCUCUUGGCCACAGAUGUACUGAUGCACCAAGCUGGCAUUGCUAGGGCUGCGUACCAGCAGGGAUGGUGCUGCUUCAGUAGGUUGGUUUCCAGCUGGUAAGUUAAAGGAGGACACACGAGCCUGAAGGAAAAUACCAUUUUGCUGUCUUUUUCUUCUUCAUUUUAAAAAUAGGUAAAAUAAUUUAACAUUUACUCUUUCAACAUAAAACAUGUAACAAAAAAGAUGAAUCUAUACUAGCUGGUUAGUUUGGCUACUUCCUUCAAUUUGAUUACGUUAUAAUUGAUUUCUUCCUUCUCACCUUUUUAUCACACUCCCCAUCUGUCUUCCCAGUUUCUGUUGUGCCUAUUCAAAGACCCCAUCUCAUCUCUUCUGGGACCGUCUCACUCCUGGGUUUCUGCUAUUUCAGCUCUGACACCAGACGGUGCUUCAGGAAAAAAGCAUCUCAGUUCUAAGAGUGGAAGGAAAAUGGACCCAUAAAAAUACCAAUUAUUUGUAUGUGUAUAGUACUUGUCAGUAAGCCUCAAAUAACUUUACCUAAGUGACCCGUUUGCUCUCAUCUCCACUCCUCAGGUAAGGCACCUGGAGCAGAGCGAGUUGAUGGCGUUCUGCUGUCUGCAGCAAUUCGGUAGUGAAAUGGAGAUAAAUGUUCUUCUUCUAAAUGAUUUCUCAGUGCCUUAUCCAUUGCCCUGUACAUGGGGAAAGACACUUUUGAGCAUCUGAAAUCGUUAUAGGCAGGGAUAUCUUUAGUCGUCUUUAAAGAGAAAUGGUCGGUUGUCCUCUGAGCGCUGUUAAUUUGGCAUCGAAGAACAAUUGGUUUUGGUGUAAAUACUGAGACUGGAUGUCAGUGUCUGCAUGUCCUGGCUGGGGGGUAGCUCUGGGAGGAAGGCUGCAAUGGGUGCUGUGUGCUUGUGGCUGCGUGCACUCCUGUACGUGAGCGAGGUGCACACAGCAUCCACUGAGAGUUUAAGCGAUGCUACCAGACCCUAACCCAAGUGGUUUUGGUCAAUACCAAGCCAGGCUGAAUUCUCUCUGCCAGCCUAGGGAUGAAAGGCUCUUUAAAUGCAUUAGCUAAUUCUGGGCUGUUCAGCUCAAUCCCCACUAGUGUUAUCUUUUUAGAAGUCUUUCUCACUAAAUUGCUUCCUUUGAAGACCGCAGGCUCUUUAACAGCAUACUGCAGCACCCGCUGCUUGCUGAAAAUCCCGAGGCCAGCGCACUGGAGCACUGCGAUGCCAAACACGCCCGUCACAAAGUGCCGCAUUUAGGGGGCUUUCACUGGAGGUAGCUGAUGAAAAACAGAACGGACACAUUGUAAGAACCGUCAGCCCAAGGAACAGAAGAUAGCUUUGAAGGAAGGCUCAAAGUCAGUAUUUCCAGAAUAGAGUCCUUUAGAAAAAAAAAAAGGAAAAUCCAGAGAAUGAAAUACGGCCAGAAUGAGCUCACUGCAGGUGGCGUUGGUCGUGACUCGCACAGAGGAUCUUCGCGUGUAAUGCCAUCUGAUUUCUCGCAAACCUGCAAGGCAGGCUGCUUCUCAGCAGUCUCUGUCUCUUGAUGCCGCACUCAUCCCACCGUUAGACAGGGAUCGUUGAAACAGAAGAAUAGAAAUGAUCGCUGGACCAUUUAAUGCAACCUUGUGUAUCACAUGAUGCAGGAAUUACUUAAUGAAAUUCCCUGGCCCAAACCAAGCAAAUCUGUGGUAAAUCUAGAGCACAUAUUUUAGGAUGACAGCCAAAAUGAUGAAAGGAAUUUACUACCCAGCCUUGCUAAUCAUUUUGAACGCUCAACUGGUCUCCCUAACAUGUAGCUUUGUAAGCAGCGAUACUAACACGGCCUCAUUUCCUACAGAUUCCUCCUCCAGACUUCCCACCCAUGCUGAGCACCCCAAAAAUCCCCUCCCAGUCCCCUCCCAGCUCUGCCGGGGCCGGGGGGCGAUGGGGCACGGAGCUCUCAUUCCUUGCUGCCAGCCUCCGGGAAGAGACGGAGGCCCCAGAUCGCAGCUGCCUCUCCUGCCACGCAGGUUUGGGGUGCUUCUCUUUCCCCAUUGUUUCCCUGAAGCUUACAGGCACUUAGUGUCUUUGAGAGGCCACCUACAAAUGUGGUAGAAAUUGGCUUUUGGGGUCAGAAGCCAUUUGAGAUGGGUUGAUCAAUAGGUGCUUUCUUUAGAAACCAAACUAGAAAUGGAAGGUAUUUGUGUCACUUUAGCUUCUAACCAUUAGAUCUCAUUUAUUUUUGUCUUGGCUAGAAUAAAAUGCAAAGAAGCACAGGGUAGCAUCUUUUUGUAUUACACAUGCAUGCCUUUGGGUUUGUCUCCUGCAGGGAUUUCCCUGGCCUGGUUGGUUGUGCCUUCAAGGUCUUGUACCAUGGCCUUGUUGACAGAUGACAUCCCACAUUUCCAACCUCAAGCUCCCUCUUGUGCCCCCCCAAAUAUGAACAUUCCUAAAAAAUGCACGUUCUGAAUUCUGGGAUUGUUUUUGAGUGUUAAAACACUUUAGAUAUCUUGAAGUACCUGAAACAGCUGCACAGGGCUGGCAGACAUGCCACAGCAGUCCAAGAAAGUUGCAUUUUCUAGCACAGAGCCUGGAGGCUGAGCUCGAAGUUGUACGACACUCCAAGUGACACUAAAUGCCAAUGUUUAGGUAACCAAGCCCCCUUCCCUUCCUCCCCCUCUCUUUGUCUUCACUUUGUUGACCUUUUAAGGAGGAUUUCUGUCAUGAUUUUAGACUUGUGACCGUAUACUAGAAAAUUAUUCUCCUAAUCAGAAGCUGUUUUUCAUUUUAUCAUAUGGAAAAUGUCACUCUCCCCCCAAGUAGAUGGGAAGAAGUGCCACUGUGUAACAGAACUGUGCCUUGCCUGGAAACUGCCAGCAUGGCAGGUGUUAGCCUCUUGCAGUUGCUGAGCUUCCCUCUAGAAACUGGGCAGAAACACAGCAAAUACCACAUUCACAAUUAUAAGAUUUGACAACACUGGAUAUACCCUUCUCUUAGUGCUCUCAGGCAGCUGUAACUCUGUAUGCAAAUGCCUGAUAAAUGAAAAUUUGUCCCAAGUAUAGCUGCAAGAUGGUUCUUUAAUUGUUUCUUGUCAGCAGCACAAAGCACAUCCUCUGUCAACACACCAUACAGGCACAACUUUGAUGGAAAGCUAAUUAAAUAAUUUGGGCAAUGUAACAGGAGUAUCAACUUCUGGUUAAUUUACUUUUCAGACUGCUAAACACACCUGCUUUUUUGUGAAGCUGUAUUUGGGUCACUUUGUAACAAGAGGAUCUUGGAAAGAGACUGUACUGAGCAGGCAUGAAGUGCUCUGCACCAGAGCAGGUUGUUCUUGUGACUGCUCAGAAGAUGACAGCUGCAGAAUUUGAAGCCAACGGGGCGCACUGUUAUCUCAGUAAAGGUUAAAGCAUUGAAAUAAAGAAGCCUUACUGAAGUAAUGCUUAUGUUCUCUGCAAAAACAUGCUCAGAUUUUAGCAGAUGUGAUGAUGUUGAGCCUUCCCGGUUGCCAACACCCCAUGGCUCUCCAACAUCUUUGAUUAUUUUAUUAUUCCAUACUGCCUGCACGUUGUAGGAGUCAGUGUUAUUUCUCCUAACAAUCCCUGGUUUCCAACUGGCAAUCCCUCUUUGACAUGCUGUUUUAAACAAGGGGUGAAGAGCAGUCAUGAAGCUGAAGGCCCACUGUAAAAGGACGGCAGCAUUCCAGGGCACUGACUGCACACAUAGCAGCGCACUUCGCUGUCCUGUUGCGGACUGCUGCUGUGAUAUGCCGAAGGUGUUAGUGGUAGUGGCUGUGCUGUAAGGAAGUGGAGCUCCAGAGACUUCGGAUCCAAGAGGCCUCUAAUUGAAGACAGUGUCUUUAUGCAAGACAGUCUAAGUAAAACUUGGGUUACUCCACCCUUCCCAUUCCUUGUUGUUCCCAGCAAUAAUAAAAACUGACGCAACGUAUAAGGUAGCCUUACAGAAGGCAAAUAUAUUUAAUAGUGCAUGUACAAAGUGACUGUAUGUUAAUGCUGUACACGGCAGGAAUGUCUAUGAAGAAACCCUGAGCACAAAGGAGGAUGUAAUUUUCAUUUUACACUUAUUGCAACAUUAUUUCUGGUAUUUGUUUGCUAUAUUGACUAAUAAAGGAAUAUGUUCAAAACA